CCAGUACAUAAUACAUAUUCAGGUGAUAUAUAUUCGAUAAAUUUUUGAUGCAUACUUUAAGCUUCUCUGAUUCGUAUCCAAUAGCAAUCUAAUAUACAUCUUUAGAAAAAUCAAUACACAUCUAGGCAAAUUGACAAUUUUCAAAAUAUCAUGUUUUUUUUUUUUUGGUGAAAACGGCUACUCAUAUCAUAUAACUUGAACGUAAGUACAUUCUGCCAAAUCACGGGAAAGUAAAAAAGACAAAGGAUAGGAAACAUCUGAAGUAGACGUCCAAAUAAAAUCUCCGGAAUGACGGGCGACAUAGGAGGCAACCCAGUCUGCUACACUGUUCGCCUCCCUAAACGCGUGUGCUGCCCGAAAGCCACCCAACAUCUGAGCCAUCCUGCGAAUCCCCCGGAUAAGGGGAUGACCAUCGCCAAACCUAUCCUCCCCUCGGAUCCAAUCAAUCACCAUGGAGGAUUCUCCCACGAGGUACACCCGCUCGGCACCAAGUACCAGCCUCGCAUAGGAUAUA
rnacentral:lncRNA from 1 species